ensembl:lncRNA
GCCGGGAGGAGGGGAGUGAUGCCUGAGGGCCUGGGGCUGGGGAGGGGCACAGCCGGGCCCCAGGGCAGGGUCUGGCAGGGACUGGGGAAGGGCCCUGAGUUGGGUCAAGGCUGGAGAGAAGCCAGGCCUGCCCACUGGUCUGGAAGGGAGGCCCUUGAGGGCUGCAGUGGCCUGGUGCCCAGGCCAUAUCACCGGGUACCUGGCCAGGGGAGACCCCCGAUUCAGUCUCUGACUCACAGAACUCAGCAGGGGUUCCCAGAGCAGGUAUCGAACCACACUGGAAGGCGGAUUCUUAAUCACUGGACCACCAGGGAAGUCUCGAGUCCCCUUUCUGACCGGGCUGUAACCCAGCGUUCACCAACCCCGCUGACCUGGAGUUUCUGUUAAGGGAAAGAAAGAAGCAUUAUGUCCAGGAAUGGUGAACGGUGAGCCCUAAAAUUCCAAAGCUGGUCUAUAUAAACCCCACCCCUCUCAUCUUGAUCAUUAUGAAGGACAUGGCCUAGAGGAGGUGGUCCCAUAGUGACUAAACCGCUGUACUGAGGUAUGUGGACCAGGAGGAG